UACAGAGGCCUCGAGCGUUAGGCGGAAUCACUGGGCUUAAAGCGUGUGUAGGCGGACUUCUAAGUACCUUGUGAAAUCCCACGGCUUACCCGUGGAACGGCUGGGUAUACUGGGAGUCUUGAGCCACCUAGGGGCGAGUGGAACAAAUGGUGGAGCGGUGAAAUGCGUAGAUAUCAUUUGGAACGCCAAUGGUGAAAACAGCUCGCUGGGGGUGCACUGACACUGAGACACGAAAGCCAGGGGAGCGAACGGG
rnacentral:rRNA from 1 species